UGGGGAAUUUUGGACAAUGGGCGCAAGCCUGAUCCAGCCAUGCCGCGUGCGGGAAGAAGGCCUUUGGGUUGUAAACCGCUUUUAGCCGGGAAGAAAAGGCACGGGUGAAUAGCCCGUGUUGUUGACGGUACCGGCGGAAUAAGCACCGGCUAACUACGUG
rnacentral:rRNA from 1 species